rnacentral:rRNA from 1 species
AUUGAACGCUGGCGGCAGGCCUAACACAUGCAAGUCGAGCGAGCGGCGGACGGGUGUGUAAUGUCUGGGAAACUGCCUGAUGGAGGGGGAUAACUACUGGAAACGGUAGCUAAUACCGCACACCAUCAGAUGUGCCCAGAUGGGAUGAGCUAGUAGGUGGGGUAACGGGUCACCUAGGCGACGAUCCCGAGCUGGUCUGAGAGGAUGACCAGCCAUACUGGAACUGAGACACGGUCCAGACUCCUACGGGAGGCAGCAGUGGGGAAUAGUGCACAAUUGGCGCAAGCCUGAGGCAGCCAUGCCGCGUGUGUGAAGAAGGCCUUCGGGUUGUAAAGCACUUUCAGCGGGGAGGCGUUACCCGCAGAAGAAGCACCGGCUAACUCCGUGCCAGCAGCCGCGGUAAUUC